rnacentral:rRNA from 1 species
GACGAACCGUACAAACGUUAUUCGGAAUCACUGGGCUUAAAGGGUGCGUAGGCGGCGCGGAAAGUAGGGUGUGAAAUCCCUCGGCUCAACCGAGGAAUUGCGCCCUAAACUACCGUGCUCGAGGGAGAUAGAGGUGAGCGGAACUUAGGGUGGAGCGGUGAAAUGCGUUGAUAUCCUAAGGAACACCGGUGGCGAAGGCGGAUCUCUGGGCCAUUACUGACGCUGAGGAGCGAAAGCGUGGGGAGCGAACAGG